rnacentral:rRNA from 1 species
UACGGGGGGGGGCAAGCGUUGUUCGGAAUUACUGGGCGUAAAGGGCUCGUAGGCGGCCAACUAAGUCAGACGUGAAAUCCCCAGGCUUAACCUGGGAACUGCGUCUGAUACUGGAUGGCUUGAAUUCGGGAGAGGGAUGCAGAAUUCCAGGUGUAGCGGUGAAAUGCGUAGAUAUCUGGAGGAACACCGGUGGCGAAGGCGGCAUCCUGGACCGGCAUUGACGCUGAGGCGCGAAAGCUAGGGGAGCAAACGGG